GACGAACGCUGGCGGCGUGCCUAAUACAUGCAAGUCGAACGCAGUGGGGACGGGUGAGUAACACGUGGGUAACCUCCCAUCAGAGGGGAUAACACUUGGAAACAGGUGCUAAACCGAUACUGAUGGAUGGAACCGCGGUGCAUUAGCUAGUUGGUGAGGUAACGGCUCACCAAGGCUACGAUGCAUAGCCGACCUGAGAGGGUGAUCGGCCACACUGGGACUGAGGCACGGCCCAGACUCGUACGGGAGGCAGCAGUAGGCAAGCUGCGGCAAUGCACGACAGUCUGACCGAGCAACGCCGCGUGAGUGAAGAGGGCUUUCGGAUCGUAAAGCUCUGUUAUUAGAGAAGCGGUAUCUAAUCAGAAAGCCACGGCUAACUACGUGACAGCAGCCGCGGUAAUAC
rnacentral:rRNA from 1 species